GUCAGAAUACAUGUACACACAGUGAGAAACUGGAGAGAUACCAGCCUUAAUGUGACGAGCUGGAGAAACACAACAAGGACCUCGGCUCUCAGUACAACGGCUGCAAAAGGACAAAAAAGAGAAGAAGGUGGACGAGCUGACCGAGCAGCUGGAGAGUCAGCAGCAGGCUGCCAUACAGGACGGGGAGGCCCUGAAGCUGAAGCACCAACAGGAGAUGACGGGAGCUACAGGAGCGGAUCUAUGAACUUGUCUCAGUGACCACAGGUUGCAGGGAGGACACAGAGUGGAAGACAGAGAGGCUGCUGAAUAUCCUGGGAAAAAGCUCUGCUUUCAAGGAGACCACUGAAAAGAGGCGAGACAGAAACCCAAAAACCCCAAACCGGGGAACCUCUGCAGUCAGAAGACACUGAGCUCUGUUCCUCCGGCUCCUCAGUAGACUGAUUCAGAGGCAGGAACCUCUGCAGACGGCUGAACCAAAGCCAGUCAAUACUUCAGUUCAAUGUCAGUAUAACUUUAUUUCAAUUUUA